CCAUUACCAAUUAACAUAUUUGAAAACCCAUCGCUGCGCUGUAAUUCUAGAUCUACCAUAUAGCAUGCAAAACCUCAGAAAAAAUCUGUAGAACACCUAUGGACGAGACGCUGGGAACAGACAGAACCCCGAAAUAAGGACCUGAUUAAGGAACCAUUUAUAAAAGUUCCUGUUUGGGAUAGUACAAGAGCUAAAUGGCCAAAGCUCAAACGAAUAAGAACAGGACAAAGAAGGUGCAACUAUUUACUUCACAAAUGGGGCAUGGCAGACUCUUCACUUUGUU